rnacentral:lncRNA from 1 species
UCGUAAUGGGUCAAUGAGGUUUACCUCUUCGAGUCAAGUCUGAAGUUUAAACCCAAGGUCAACUAUAUGGCGUGAGAGUGAUACAAGAUAGACGACGAAUGAAAAUGGGUCAAAACCCAUUGAUGAGGUUACUAAGAAACUUGAAAAGUCUCGAUUUUUAUUAUUGUCUUCUUCUUAUUUAUUCAUUUUAUCAUUUACUUAUUUAUUUAUUUGAGGCCUCGAACCCAAAGUUGUACUUAAUACAGGUGAAGCAAAACUCGAGUCAAACGCUCGAAAAUUAGACUAGGACAGGUGAAAAUGGGUCAAAAACCCAACUAGAUUAGGACAGGAACAACGGUUUGGGCCUAAAAGCCCAAAUCACUAUUUCUCCCCUUUCCCUUUUUUUUUUUCCUUUCGCUUACUUGUUUACGUGCCUAUUGCGAACCUAGUUAAGUCCCUAAUUAAGUCUCGCUAAAAAACUGGUUUUGCAUAAAACCUUAAAAAUAUUUCCUAAACAAUUUACUUUUUCCAACAAAUCAAUAUUUUUCGAAGUUAGUCAAAAGACGUUUUCAAACAGUCAGGAUAACCGCAAGUUAGCGGACGUUUUAGGUGCCUAACACCUUCCUAAAACGUUAAUAGGAACCGCUUAUCUAGAAUCUCUAACUUAAAACGAUUUUUCUAUUUUGAAUCGUUUGAAGUAACUCUAUAAAGGUUUCUUAAUUUCUUUUCAAAAAUUAAGUGGCGACUCUCUUCAAAAAGUUAAAAUUUUGUCAAAAUACUUGUCCGUAAAAAUUUAACAAAAAAAAAUAGUCAUUUUCCAUUCAUGUGGGGAUUGUUGGGUUUAAAGUAUAUGAAAAACGUGUAAAUGAAAAAUGGAGGGAAAAUAGUGGAGAAGGGAGACACCAAUUUAGAAAGUGUACUCCCAAAUUGGAAAGUUCACUCUUUCUUCCACAUUGGUGGAAGAAGAUAACUUGUGAGUGUUUAAAAUUGGGAACACUUACUCCACAUGGUAAGUGAGGCAAGAAAUAAGAGAUUCCUCGCGCCGUCAUCGUCAUCGAUCGCUUGGCUCGGCUUCGGCUUCGGAUUUGAAUUGAUUGACGAAAUCUAUCUUUUUGGACAAAGUUUAUUUGACAGAAAUUCAGAAAUUUAGUUUGAAAAUACCAAAGAGAAAAACAAAACUUUUUUCUGUGUUUUGAUACUCCAUUUAUAUGCAUGCAUGCAGAUUCUGAAACAGUGUUUCGAAACAGUGCAGUACUGAAACAAAGGGAUGCAACCUUUCGACGAAAUGACACACCGAUUCAUGAAAUGGUAUGCUUGUUCGGAAAAGACACAUUCUUUAGACGAACAGACAUGACUUUUCCAGAAAGGUUACACCUUUUAAGUGAACCAUUGCCACUUUUCAGAAGAGGCACAUGUUGGCUAUAUAAACUGCUUUCAUCUACAGGUUUAGGUACGAAAUUUUUGAAAUACAAACUCUCUUCUUGUCUUGAAAAACUUUCUGUGUGAUCUAUCAAACCGUUGAGUGAGUUAGCUGAAUCCAACAAUUUGAGGUACCGCUAUUGUUCGGAUUGAAGGCCAUUUUAUUCUGGGAGGGAGAUUCCAAAACCUCGUGUACAGUGAGAGGAAUUAUUCCUUAAGAACACUCCGUGAAUUCGGAGGACUUGGUCUUAAAUUCUGUUUCAUCUCUUUUAUGAAUCUUAACACACUUCUUAGAAAGAUUAUUCAUAAUCUAGUAUUGAAGGUGUUACAAAACUUCAUAAGUGUUCUUGUCUUGGACUUGAACUAGUGUUGAAGUUUGUGUUUCUUAUAUACAGAUCCUUGUACCCGAAUAUAGUAGGAAGAACAACCUUGGCAAAAGCUUGUAUCCCAACACAUGUCAUGAACUAUAUAAAGCUACCCAAACAAAUUACUGCUAAUAUUGACAAAAUACAAAUGGGGUACACAACUGAAAAGAAGAAACUCUUUGUAAAGAAAUGGGAGGAUUGGGGAUCCAAAAAAGCAGCCACAAAAAUUUAGCUAUGCUUUCUAAACUAGCUUGGAAGAGCUAUAAAGAAAACUCUUUCUGUGGGCAAAAGUAUUGUGCAAAAAAUAUGCACAAAAAAAAAAAACAAGUCGUACUGGGAAAGGCAAAAACAAUCUAGAUACAAUAGUAAUACUUGAAAAAAUGUAAUUCAAUGUAAUACAAUCUAAAUGUAAUACUGCUUAUGGGACUAAACAUGGCAGUCAAGAUGCAAUUUAAUCCAAUUUCUGUAGCAACUGAUUCUAUUAAACUAUCAACGUCUCUAAAUAAUAACUUUGCUAAUGAAACCAACUUGCUUUCAUCUUGUAGGGAUCUUCUUCAGCAGCUGCUGGGGAGGCUGCAGGUUCGCCAUGAAAAUGCUGUUGCGGACAUGCUAAGCGCCAAGGAGGGCAAUAAGUUAGGAAGGGAAGAAUAGACAAGGCUACAACUUUGCAAUGUAUGCCCAUAAAUAUCAAUAUAUGUACUAAUAGUGUUAGGCCCCAUAAAUAUGAAUAUAUGUACUAAGGAUUCGUUUGGUAGAG